rnacentral:rRNA from 1 species
GACGAACGCUGGCGGCGUGCUUAACACAUGCAAGUCGUACGGUAAGGCCCUUUCGGGGGUACACGAGUGGCGAACGGGUGAGUAACACGUGAGUAACCUGCCCACAACUUUGGGAUAACGCUAGGAAACUGGUGCUAAUACUGGAUAUGUGCUCCUGCUGCAUGGUGGGGGUUGGAAAGCUCCGGCGGUUGUGGAUGGACUCGCGGCCUAUCAGCUUGUUGGUGGGGUAGUGGCCUACCAAGGCGGCGACGGGUAGCCGGCCUGAGAGGGUGACCGGCCACAUUGGGACUGAGAUACGGCCCAGACUCCGACGGGAGGCAGCAGUGGGGAAUAUUGAACAAUGGGCGCAAGCCUGAUGCAGCAACGCCGCGUGCGGGAUGACGGCCUUCGGGUUGUAAACCGCUUUCAGCAGGGACGAAGCUUUUUGUGACGGUACCUGCAGAAGAAGCACCGGCUAACUACGUG